rnacentral:rRNA from 1 species
CAGUAGCCGCGGUAAAACGGAGGGUGCAAGCGUUAAUCGGAAUUACUGGGCGUAAAGCGCACGCAGGCGGUCUGACAAGUCAGAUGUGAAAUCCCCGGGCUUAACCUGGGAACUGCAUUUGAAACUGUCAGGCUGGAGUCUUGUAGAGGGGGGUGGAAUUCCAGGUGUAGCGGUGAAAUGCGUAGAGAUCUGGAGGAAUACCGGUGGCGAAGGCGGCCCCCUGGACAAAGACUGACGCUCAGGUGCGAAAGCGUGGGGAGCAAACAGGAUUAGAUACCCCGGUAGUCCCUGUCUCUUAUAC